UGCCAUUUUCAAGAUAAUAAAAUAUGUAAGAAUUCUGGAAAGAUGAUGCAUGGGUUGUCUGGAUGUUACUCAUUAGACAUGGUGUUUACUUUAUGACCUGUGACUUUAAACUGUGUUCCCAAUGUUGACACUGGUACACAAGACGGACCCACAAGACAACUACUCAGUCAGUAUCUAUGAAGUAUUUUUGUACUUUUAUUAUUAUUUACAUUAUUGUUUUAUGCAAGGAACAGAAGUUAUCAUAAAAAGUAAUAUGACAUUCAUAGGUUGUUGUUAUAUAUAUUAAAAGCACAAUGGCUAGGUGACAUUAUAGUAAAGAAAAUUUUUAAUUUUAAUUAAAACGCAUGAACUUCUUAAAAAAGUAUUCAAACUCAUCAACACAAGUUCCAGUAACUCAGUUCAUUAGAGUCUGAGUCUGACUAUAAAACAUAAGGUCAGAGGUUUGAAUCCUGUCUGGUGCUUAGAAUGUUUGUUUUUUCCUGAGAAAAAUUUGCUUGGUGAAACAAUGCAGAUGUUUAUUUAAAAAUAAAUAAUGUUUAGCACCAUUAGAUUAUAAUAAUUAAAAGCACUUAAUAUACCAGAUAUUAAGAGGAUGUUGAAGUGUGUUUUUUAGUCUGCAUCCACAGAUGAUUUAUUAUGCUUAGUUGCAUAUUGACGUUAUGACUAUGAACUAUGUAAAAACCUUUAAAAUAUUCCAGAAUAUUUUUCUUGUAUAGACUGCCUGGUGAUUCAAUACGUCAUUGUCUAAAGACAUUAUGAUUAAAACAGCUAAGGUCACCCUUCUAGAAAAAAAAAAAAACAGGGCAAAAACUAUGGGAAAUAAUAUAUAUCAAUAAACUGUGCCUUUUACUUUGAUCA
rnacentral:lncRNA from 1 species